rnacentral:rRNA from 1 species
AUGAUCAGGAGCUUGCUCCUGUGAUUAGUGGCGAACGGGUGAGUAACACGUGUAGUAACCUGCCCCUGACUCUGGGAUAAGCGUUGGAAACGACGUCUAAUACUGGAUAUGAUCACUGGUCGCAUGGCCUGGUGGUGGAAAGAUUUUUUGGUUGGGGAUGGACUCGCGGCCUAUCAGCUUGUUGGUGAGGUAAUGGCUCACCAAGGCGACGACGGGUAGCCGGCCUGAGAGGGUGACCGGCCACACUGGGACUGAGACACGGCCCAGACUCCUACGGGAGGCAGCAGUGGGGAAUAUUGCACAAUGGGCGAAAGCCUGAUGCAGCAACGCCGCGUGAGGGAUGACGGCCUUCGGGUUGUAAACCUCUUUUAGUAGGGAAGAAGGGAGCUUCGGUUCUUGACGGUACCUGCAGAAAAAGCACCGGCUAACUACGUGCCAGCAGCCGCGGUAAUACGUAGGGUGCAAGCGUUGUCCGGAAUUAUUGGGCGUAAAGAGCUCGU